GCACAAAGCAAUCACCCGAGACUCUAAACAGUGGAUUUCUAUUAUUCUCCCCCAUGGCCACCAUUAUUAUUAAAUUUAUUGUCUAAUCUCAAUCAUUUUAAACGUAAACACCUUCGUCAAUCUCUUAAACCUCACCUUAAUCUCUUCUCCAUAUCCGUACAGCUCAUCCACCGGAAAAAUUAAAAUUAAAAAAAAAAAAGUAAAAACAAAAAAAGAAAUCUUCGCUUUCGUGUUCCUUUGUCUUAGCUGAGAAUUUGUCCUUGGAUAAGGUUCUGUUGCAUUGCUCGGAAUUCUUAGGGUUUGGCUUUGGGGGAUGGCUCAAUCGAUGGACAGCAGAGGUGGUGGAAGUGGAAGGUUCAUGGUGGGUGAUUAUUUGGUUGGGAAGCAGGUAGGGACGGGGUCGUACUCGACGGUGUGGCACGCGCGGCACCGAGACCACGGCACCGAGGUGGCCAUCAAGGAGAUCGUCACAGCUCGGCUUAACUCCAAGCUCCAAGAGAGCCUCAUGUCUGAGAUUGUUAUCCUCCGGAAGAUCAAUCAUCCUAACAUUAUCCACCUGCACGACAUGAUCCAGGAACCUGGAAAGAUUUAUAUAGUGUUGGAGUACUGUAGAGGAGGUGAUCUUUCAAUCUACAUCCAACAACGCAAUGGGAGAAUCCCAGAAGCAACUGCAAAACAUUUUAUGCAGCAGCUAGCAUCGGGCUUAAAAGUUCUUCGUGAGAACAACUUAAUACAUCGGGACUUAAAACCACAGAAUCUCCUCUUAUCAGUAAAUGAUGACAAUGCUGUUUUAAAGAUUGCUGAUUUUGGAUUUGCAAGGUCUUUGCAACCUAGGGGCCUUGCAGAAACCUUAUGUGGUUCACCACUAUACAUGGCUCCUGAAAUUAUGCAACUCCAGAAAUAUGAUGCAAAGGCAGAUCUCUGGAGUGUUGGUGCCAUUCUGUUUCAGCUUGUAACUGGCAAAACCCCAUUUAUAGGAAAUGACCAAUUACAGUUGCUUCAGAACAUAGUGAAAUCAACUGGAUUGCAAUUCCCUUCCAAUGCAAAGGAUUUAAGUGAUGAGUGCAGAGAUUUAUGCCGAAAAUUGUUGCGCCGUAAUCCUGUGGAGCGGUUGACAUUUGAGGAGUUCUUUAACCACCCAUUUCUUGCAACAAGGCAACCGGAUGAACUGUCUAGGAUUUGGAGACCACAGAGGAAGAUAGAUGGUUUUCCUCUGUCAAGCUGCACUCCUGCAAGUGCAGAUGAAAGUCAAGAAGAUUGUCUACCAUUCAGACUUGAUGAUGAUUCAAGUGGUACUGACAACAGUCAAUCUGUCACUGGGAGAUUACUACAAAGACCUCCAUAUGGAUAUCCUAUUAAUGCUUUCAAUGUUCCCAAGCUACCAGACCCAACCUUCGAUGGCAGUGGUGGUGAUUGCAAACGAGAGAGCACUGCAUUUAGUGUUGGCAAUUGUCAACUUUCAGAAGGAAACCUGAAAGAAUCUCGUAGUUCCAUUGAACAUAGGCCAGCAGCAAGUAAUCCAGAAGUGAUAAAUUCACUGGAGUUGAUUGAUCAAGGUUAUGUCAUUGUUUCUGCCCCCCCUGUGGAUUCUUCUUCAUCAACAGGUGCUUCUAAGCUUAGCAAUAUGCCAUUGGUAUCAGGCUGUUCCCCACAAGCUCCAAGGAAUGCGUACUCCAGGCCAAGUGCCCCGAUGCCCAUUAUGGGACCUGCAACCCAUGAAGUAGGCUGUGUAGGAAGUCUUGAUAGCCACACAUCUGCUCAUGGUACAUCACAAGGAUCAGUGGAUAUAGCUGACACCUUGGAGCAACCAUCAACUGAUUGCAUGAGGAGGAUUGAGUCAUUGCAAUGUUGUGCUUCUGCUAUCACAGAAUUAGUAAAUGAGAAGUCUGAGGCAGGCAAACAUCUGGAAGCAUUCUCAAUUCAGCUUGUCAUUCUUGCAAUAUGGAAGCAAGCUUUGCAUAUUUGUCAUACUCAAGCAGCAUCAGCAGUUGAAGGAAGUCCAACACAACAUGCUACUACACUGCGGGAAACUAUGAAGAGGGGUCAAGGUUGUCUCAACGUACACAAUCCUGUUGAUGCUUCUAACACUUUGGGGCCACAGGAUGUCUGCUCUCAUAUUCAAAGGUCAUUCCUCAGUGAAGUUCAGAAUGCUGAGGAACUUUCCAAAUUUGUAGAGCCUGGAAAUACUGAAGUGCCAGAUGCAAUGGAGUUGAUAUUCCAAUCUGCCCUAGCAAUGGGAAGGAAGGGGGCUGUUGACGAAUACAUGGGGCGGACAGAAAAUGCAGUAGUAUUUUAUUCAAAAGCAGUGCAGUUAUUAGCAUUCCUUCAAGUGGAAGCACCGUCUCUCAUUUUAAAUCCCCCGUUCUCUCUGACAAACACAGAUCGGUAUAGGCUUCAGAAUUACAUAGACGUUCUUAAAAACAGGAAAAGCGUUUCGAGAUCCCAAAUGAUGGCUCUGCUCAAGUGCGAGGACCAACAUUGCUCCCCAUGAAGACAAAGGUUUCAACUAAUUCAUACUAACUGGUGAUAGCAUGUCAUGUUAUAGUCUAGUCUGCAAAAUUAUUUAUUAUGUACAGUUAAUUCUUUUAUGUUGUUCCUGCUCCUGAAGGAAAUUGAAAUCCACUGGACUGGAACAAUAUAUACUUGAUUAACAUGGAGGCUGAAGCCUUCAGAAUUCUACCAGAAUCAAGUUGUGGCCUGUGGCAUUGCCUCUUGGUGAAGGCAUCCGAAUCAUAGCUGCGAAGAUAAAGAUGAAGACACAAGCUGACAACGUUGACAAUGUGCACCGCACAAUAUGAUCGGAGAGACUGUUUUUUUGUCUCCAUCUGAAGAAAUAACUGAAUGGGAAUGAAUUUGUUCAGAUCACAUCACAUUCUCUGUGAGACAGGUCGAAUUAAUAUAAUUUGUGUCAUAAAAUUUAACUAAAGACUAAUUCAUAAUACUAAUUAUGACCCAAAUUAUGUUGAUCUGAUCUGUCUAACGUAUUAAGACCCGUAAGAUAAUUUCACACAAAUUAUAUUGAUCCGACCUGAUAGUCUCACACAAGUUUUUACCAUUUGUUCAAGUAAUGUAAUGCCAGUAAUUGCAAAAUAGCAAAGUCAGAAUGGUAAUGCCAGUAAUUCCAAAA